rnacentral:sRNA from 1 species
UAACUUCUUGAGUUCUUUGAUUUCAUUUGAUAUUAGCCCUCUAUCAGAUGUCAGGUUGGUAAAAGUCUUUUAACAAUCUGUAGGUUACCGCUUUGUCCUAUUGACAGUAUCCUUUGCCUUACAGCAGCUUUUCUAUUUUAGGAGAUUCCACUCGUCAAUAGUUGAUCUUAGAGCCUGAGUCAUUGGUGUUCUGUUUUAAGUUUAUAACCUGAGUUUAAUUUUCCGAUGUUUUAUAAGUUGCAAUUUAAAUAUUGUAAAUAUAGAUAUUUUAAAAUGAAUUGCUUUAAACAUAUACACCGGAAUAGAAAUAUCGUAGUUGCUUGGUUGUUAAAAUGGUGCCUGAAGAAGCUCUUAUUUACUAACUGGAAAUUGUACAUCAUUUCCCCUUAAACUUGAAUUGCUAUUCCACUAACCCCUUGAAUUCUCUUAGAAUCCAAUAUAUUUUUACACCUGAAAAGGUAUACUUUGAUUCUUAAAUUUAUCUUUCUUCUCUAUCAGCAUGCACAUAAAUUAUAAGUUUGCUUUCAAAUAUUUUAUGAGUACCUUAUUCACCAGUUAAUAUUUUAACAUGACUGUGUUUACCAUUCAGUUACUAGUGUGGGAUAGAUUUGUUUGAAGAUAUGUAUCAUUGGGGAGGUUCAUCACUGUGAAAGCAUCAUGUAGCACGUACUUAGAUAUUAUUGUACAGGGUUCGCAUUGCAGUCUAUUUCUUUAUACCAACUUCACCACAAACUCAUUUUUAAUGUGCUGUACUUAAGUAUUAAUGACAGGUACAGCAUCAUUAAGUAAGGGGAAUUUUUAGUUCUAUUUUUGUAAGACUCAACCCAAGAGACUCCCAUGAAUGAGACAUGAGACUGGAGACCGCUGUAAUGGCAUGAGGAAUUUUUUAUGUCCAGCUAGAGGUCAGCCAACCUCUCGAGGAGAAGCAAAUCCCAAUCAAUCCGUAAAGUACAGUUUUAUACAUUUCAUAAAGGGCGAGAUAGAGAUUGGGCAUACAGGGGCAUUGGUGAGAGUUUGGCUACAAACCAGGGCAGUGCCAGGGUCCUUGAAAUGCAUUCCUUUAGACAAUGUUAAGACAGUCCUACUGUGAAGACAGGGCUCCUGGUAAUCUCAGAGACUGCCCUAGACUGUAUUGCUGCACUCCCUCCUGGAUGGGAGGAACUGUCUGAGGCUGGUUUACUCCCUAUGGAUGGGAGGAGCUGUCUGAGGCUGGUGGAAAAAUACUAGCCCUCACAUUUUCAUGUUAUGGAACCAUAAUCAUAUGUGUUCUUAAUCUUUGAUGCAAAUGUCAUUAUGUGGUUCAUGAAUGCAGUUGAAUAAUUUAUAAUUUUAAAAAUACAUUUCAAUAUAUACAGAGGAUACUUAAAUGUAUAAACAUGCUUAAAACAUCUGUCAGAUCUCCAAAUCUCUAUAUAUGUCAAUAUAUACAUGUGCUUAUUUAAAUAGAGAUACAAUGCAGUCCAGUUUUCCUAAUGAUAUAAA